rnacentral:rRNA from 1 species
AAUUUUAGUGAAUGGGGGAAACACUGAUCCAGCAACCCUGCGUGUUGGAUGAAGGCCUUCGUGUUGUAGAGUACUUUUGGAAGAGAGGAAAAGGUAUCUCUAAUUACGAGAUACUGCUGACGGUUCCUACAGUAUAAGCACCGGCUAACUACGUUCCAGCAGCCGCGGUAAUAAGUACGGUGCAAGCGUUAAUCGGAAUUAUUGGGCGUAAAGCGUGUGUAGGCGGUUCGGAGAGAAAGAUAUGAAAUCCCAGGGCUCAACCUUGGAGCUGCGUUUUUAACUGCCGAGCUAGAGUAUGUGAGAGGGGGGUAGAAUACCACGUGUAGCAGUGAAAUGCGUAGAUAUAUGGGGGAAUACAGAUAGCGAAGGCAGCCCCCUGGGAUAAUACUGACGCUCAGACACGAAAGCGUGGGGAGCGAACAG